UACCGUGUUCUUACUUGGUCUUUGUUGGUAAAAUAAUGUCAAAGUGCAUACUAUUAUCGUUAGAUUAAGAUUUUUUUUGCAAUGCGAUCGUGUAGGCUACCGACAAUGAUAAGAAAGAAAGUCCCGGUUUAAGGUCUAAAUCUGAAAAAUUCAGCUUGCACUCGCAUCAUAUAUUUAAUAGAAAUUUCGCUCAGAAUAUCGAAAAUUUCCGCUCGCCGCGCUUCACGCUGACAUGAAAGGACAGGUCCACCCCAACAAAAAGUUGAUUUUAAUAAAAAGAGAAAAAUCGAACAAGCAUAACACUGAAAAUUUCAUCAAAAUCAGAUGUAAAAUAAUAAAGUUAUGACAUUUUAAAGUUUCGCUUAAUUUCACAAAACAGUUAUAUGCAAAUCUUGGUCGGUAUGCAAAUGAGGAGACUGUUGACGUCAUCCACUCGCUAUUUCUUUUGUAUUUUAUUAUAUGAAAUAUUCCAAUUUUCUCCACAUUAUCAAGUGAAACAGUGAUUAAUUCCUCCCUGAACAUGUGGAAUUAGCAUUGUUUAAUACUAAAUGGUUCAGUCAAGUUGGUCCUUAUGGUCAAAUCUGUAAAAAACGAAAUAUUGUAUAAUUCAAACAAUAAAAAACAAAAGACAUAGUGAGUGAUGGACAUCAUGGACUGACCCAUUUGCAUGUCACUGAGUUGUGCAUAUCACUGUUUUGUGAAAAAUAAGCGAAACUUUAGAAUGCCAUAACUUUCUUAUUUUACAUCCAAUCUUGAUGAAAUUUUCAGUGUUAUGCUAGUUUGAAUUUUCUCUAUUUAUUCAAGUCAACAUUUUGCUGGGAUGGACUUGACCUUUAAGAUACACAGAUUGUUAAAUUGAAUAUGCAUAUCUUGAGUUUGUUCUUUAUAUAAAAAAAGUGUGUGAAAAUGUUAAUUUUUCAAGUCAAAACAUCAAAAGUUCUCUGUACUAACAGUGAUUAAAAUGUCCCGGUUUAAAGUCUAAAUCUCAACAAAAAUUUCAGCCCGUGCUUCGUGCUAGCAUCAUAUAUUUAGUGAGAUCAAUAUUCUCUCCACAAUUUUUCUUCAUGUUGAUGUUGACAAUGCUUAAAAAUUUACUUUGGGUCAGUAUUAUAACAAAAAUUUCAGCUCGCACUUUGCACUCGCAUUGUGUUUAUUGAGAUACACACCUUGUUCAAUUACAUAUGCGGAAUCUAAGUUUGUUCUUACACAAAAACGUGUGAAAAUGUUAAAUUUUCAAGUCAAAGUAUCAAGAGUUGUCAGCUCAUACUUCUGUACCGACAGUGAACCAUUUUCCUUCAGUGCUUAAAAUGUUCCUUUUUGUGUCAGCAAAUCAAAAUUUCAGCUCACGCUUCGCGCUCGCAUUAUGUUUAUUGAGAUACACAGCUUGUACAAUUACAGAUGCAUAAACUGAGUUUGAACCAUUUUCCUUCAUGUUGGACAGUGCUUAAAAUGUUCCCUUUCGGGUCAACAAGUAAAAAUAUCCAAAAAUUUUCAAGCUUGCACUUCGCACUCGCAUUAAUGUUUGAGAUACACAGCUCUUUCAAUUACAGAUGCAGAAACAGUUUUAAUGUAAAAACACAUAAAAAUAUUUAGUUUUCAACGCCAUCAUUCAGUUAUACCCUUCCUUUUCAUGACAAAAACUGCAUGAAAGGUUCGAUAUCAAAUCUAAGUUUGAUUAGAUAACCAUCAAGUUCAUGAUUGCAAAAAAGUAAUCGGUACCGAUAUUUGUUGGUAAUCAGGGCCUCCACACCCCCCUAAUUAAAGGCCUAGCGACGCCCCUGAUUGAACCAAUCUCUUAUUUAUAUGUGCUUAGUAAAGAUUAUUGUAAAAAUAUUGUCCAUUUUGACUGAAUGGAAUUUGUGUAGUGCCCUUGUAAAGUUUGAUCAAUUUUUUUAAAAACCCAGUUUGUUAUUAUAAAAAAGAAUUAUUAACCUCUAACUACGGUAAUGUUCAGGAAUUCUUAAUUUCAUUGCAAGCAUAUAUUGUACACUAUAAUGAUGGUGUAUUAUUUUGUGAUUUGAAUAUGAUUCUUUGGGUGCAUACUACAGGUAUUUGUAUGUAGCUUCUAACAAUAUGGAAUUUUGCCGGUAAGCUUCCAUCCACUCUGCAGACUGGUAAACGCUGAUUUAUCUAUCGCCAAUUCGUCCACUUAUCAGUUGGUCUAGCUUCAUUUAGUCUAAUUAUGCCAUUCCGUCCAUCAACAUUUUGUCUAAUAACUAUUUGGUCCAAUAAACGGUUACAGCUCGAUCAUUAAAUAUGUGAGUUGGUUUCCGCAUGAUAACAUAUCAAAUAUUUAACGGAUUAAAUUUUUUUGGUGUGUAGGUAGAUGACACCAAAAUACAGGCUAAAUUCGAAUUCGGAGUCCGCAGGUCAGAGCUCAUAAAAUAUGUAAGUUGGUUUCCGCAUGAUAGCUAAUGAAAUAUUCAACGGAUUUAAACAAUUUUUGGUGUGCAGGUAGAUGACACCAAAAUACAGGCAAAGUUCGAAUUAGUUCGCAGGUCAAAGCUCAUUAUAUAUGCAAGUUGGUUUCUGCAUGAUAACUUUGGAAAUAUUCACCAGAUAUUAAAAAUGUUUGGUGUCUGGGUAGAUGACACCAAAAUACAGUCGGGUCACAUCAAAUGAGCUGACUGUCAUAUUCUGUCAGAGAUUAUUAUGGAAAGGGCGAGUCUUUAGGUCAAAAUUUGUUCAUUCUAAAAUUUCUAGUCUUUUAAGUCAUUUCGCCCAAUUAACACUUAUCCAAUUUUAUGGACUAAAUGGCUAUUGGACCAACUGCAUGGUUAUAAGAUGAAAUGGUGAGUGGACGAAAUGGUAAUAAGACCAUGUGGAUAUUGGACGAAUUGAUGGUAGACCAAAUGAUAGUAGACGAGUUGGCAGUUGGACAAAUUGGCAUUAGACCAAAUGGAAAUAUACCUACAGUCUUACUCGUGUAGAUUGAUAAGCCACAUUUCCCCCCAGUGCUGACUGGAUCAGAUCAUUGGCCUUGGGUAUUCUGAGUCCCUACUCAAAUAUAGGAUUAUAAAUCCUUUCUUUAUUGAAAUAACUUUUGUAUUCCUUUCAAAGUCAACAAUGAGGGCAACAUUUCAUCCAUUAUUAUGUUGAAAGUUCAGUGGUAUUCAUAUCCCUGUGAAAAAGAGGGACAGACUAUUAAUUUCUCUAGGGGACAAACAAAGUACCACAAGAUGACCUGUAAACGUUAGUGCUAACAGAGGCCCUGUUACAACCAGUAAUGUGGCAGCGAUUCCUAAUGUUACAGCAAUGUAUUACUUACACAUUGAUAUAAAUGUUUUGACUUCACAAUCUGAAAUAUGUGACUGGGCUUACUGUUAGCGCUUUGUUAGGCUAACGUUUCUGUGCUGCUGGCACUGAUCUUUACCUUGUCCAUGCUUGUUUGUGGCCAAUUUUGGACAUCUCGGGCUCAGAAUCGCUAUCUGACAAAGUUCUCAGUUGGUGGAAGCAUGUUGUAUGUCUAGUCAAUAGGUUUUAUUUUAUCAUAUGUGGCUGUAUGGUGUCUAACACAAUGUUUACCUUGAUAUUAUUACUCUUGCAAUAAACUAUAUAUUUCAUCACA